GGUUGAGUAGCUCAAAGGGCAGAGCAUUGGUCUGAAGAGCCAAGGUUGUAGGUUCGACUCCUAUCUCAACCG
rnacentral:tRNA from 1 species